rnacentral:rRNA from 1 species
GAUGAACGCUGGCGGCGUGCCUAAUACAUGCGAGUCGAGCGAACAGACGAGGAGCUUGCUCCUCUGACGUUAGCGGCGGACGGGUGAGUAACACGUGGAUAACCUACCUAUAAGACUGGGAUAACUUCGGGAAACCGGAGCUAAUACCGGAUAAUAUAUUGAACCGCAUGGUUCAAUAGUGAAAAACGGUUUUGCUGUCACUUAUAGAUGGAUCCGCGCCGCAUUAGCUAGUUGGUAAGGUAACGGCUUACCAAGGCAACGAUGCGUAGCCGACCUGAGAGGGUGAUCGGCCACACUGGAACUGAGACACGGUCCAGACUCCUACGGGAGGCAGCAGUAGGGAAUCUUCCGCAAUGGGCGAAAGCCUGACGGAGCAACGCCGCGUGAGUGAUGAAGGUCUUCGGAUCGUAAAACUCUGUUAUUAGGGAAGAACAAAUGUGUAAGUAACUAUGCACGUCUUGACGGUACCUAAUCAGAAAGCCACGGCUAACUACGUG